rnacentral:rRNA from 1 species
CCUACGGGAGGCAGCAGUAGGGAAUCUUUCACAAUGGGCGAAAGCCUGAUGGAGCAACGCCGCGUGCAGGAUGAAGGCCUUCGGGUUGUAAACUGCUUUUAUAAGCGAGAAAUAUGAUGGUAACUUAUGAAUAAGGAUCGGCUAACUACGUGCCAGCAGCCGCGGUCAUACGUAGGAUCCGAGCAUUAUCCGGAGUGACUGGGUGUAAAGAGUUGCGUAGGUGGCAUAAUAAGUAGCUAGUGAAAUCUGGUGGCUCAACCAUUCAGACUAUUAGCUAAACUGUUAAGCUCGAGACCGUUAGGGGUAACUGGAAUUUCUAGUGUAGGAGUGAAAUCCGUAGAUAUUAGAAGGAACACCAAUAGCGUAGGAAGGUUGCUGGGACGGGUCUGACACUAAGGCACGAAAGCGUAGGGAGCAAACGGGAUUAGAUACCCCAGUAGUC